CUGGCUUCUCGUGGCUGAAGGUUGGAGACAGGAGGGUGGCUGUUGCUGUCAGUGAGUGUGAGUCCAGCUGUCACUGCAGAACUCAACUCGUCACCUUGGAGGCCGUCACCUUGAGCCGUUGGGCUGUACAUGGGCAUGCUCGGCAGACAGACACACGGUACUCCACCCUGGGGAUCAGAGGCAGGUUGGGCUCAUCCACCCAGUGCCACCCAGAGAGCAGAUGAGCCCCUGAGGCACCCACCUAGAAGGACCAUCCUCUCCAUUAAACAAUGAGCU